UUUUCUAUGGAAGCUUGCUUCCACUGAGAAGAUAGUGGCGGACGGGUGAGUAACACGUGGGUAACCUGCCCAUAAGAGGGGGAUAACAUCCGGAAACGGGUGCUAAUACCGCAUAGUUUUCUUGAUCGCAUGAUUGAGAAAGGAAAGACGGCCUUUGUGCUGUCGCUUAUGGAUGGACCCGCGGCGUAUUAGUUAGUUGGUGAGGUAACGGCUCACCAAGACGAUGAUACGUAGCCGACCUGAGAGGGUGAUCGGCCACAUUGGGACUGAGACACGGCCCAAACUCCUACGGGAGGCAGCAGUAGGGAAUCUUCCGCAAUGGACGAAAGUCUGACGGAGCAACGCCGCGUGAGUGAAGAAGGUUUUCGGAUCGUAAAACUCUGUUGUCAGAGAAGAACAAGUCGGAGAGUAACUGCUCCGGCCUUGACGGUAUCUGACCAGAAAGCCACGGCUAACUACGUGCCAGCAGCCGCGGUAAUACGUAGGUGGCAAGCGUUGUCCGGAUUUAUUGGGCGUAAAGCGAGCGCAGGCGGUUCCUUAAGUCUGAUGUGAAAGCCCACGGCUC
rnacentral:rRNA from 1 species